AAUACAUAUUUUAGAACAAACGAUUAUGAUCGUAUUGCACGAAAGUUCCCGGUUUUAUAGGAAAUCAUUUGUGCCAACAACUAGAAAUUGUGCUAACUUGUAGGUUCUAUGCGUGUGUGCUUGAUUUUCGAUCUUUACCUUUUUCACUGCGUUUCUCAAAAUUUGGAAAGAAACUGUGACAUUCAAGCAAAUAGUGUCAAAGUGGAAGAGAUUUAGUUGGCGUAGUCACAAUUCAUGGUCAGAAAAUGAAGAAAUAACAAACAUCAAAAGAUUACCUCAACAGCUCUAUCAAAACGUGUGCUUUGCAGAAAUAAAAAAACUAGAUACCAUGUAAAAGUUUAGAAAUGUAUCCCAUUUUUUAUUAUUUUUAAUGAUGAUUUCAAAAAUUUGUUUCAGCUCAUCUGGAGUUCGUCUAGAAUAUCAUUUCUGUGGAAAAUACUCCAAAAUUUCACCAUUUCCCAUGAUUGGCAAAUCUUCUGUCUACGAGCUGACUGCGAGAAAAGUUACCUAAUUGAUACAAGCCUCAAUACGGUUUUUUAAAAUUAAAUGAGGACUAAC
ensembl:lincRNA linc-162 ncRNA